ACCAACUGUAUAGAGACAGUUGGCUACCAACCUCUGACUGAAGUAAUGCAUGCAAGCUUUAAUAUUUGGUUUUCCUCCGAUUUAAGGCAAUUCACCUACUCUUUGCCUUUAGCCUAUCCUUGCCGCGCAUGCCUGCUCACUUCCCUCUAAUCUCUUCAAAAUAUCAAUUAAAACUAUCACCUUACUUGUUUUAUUGUCUGUUGCGACAUCUUUCUUCCCAGAUUAAUUGUCAUCCAGCUUUAUCCCAUCUAGCUCGAUCCAUUAAUCUUCUUGACCUAUAAUUAUUAAGCUCUCUCUAUCUGUAUCUCUCUCUUUCUCUCUCUGUUACACACACAGACAAUCAAACGCAGAAGAGAUGAAGAUGGACAUCUUUCCAUCUUGUGGAAGCAUCGAGAAAUACCAGAGCAGGAGAGGGUAUCAGAGGCUGAAGAGUAGUCAUGAGGUGAUCACCAAUGAGGAACAUAUGAAGAUUGCUGCAUCAGAGAUUAUAUCACUGCCAACGAACAUCACUUUUUCAAUCAAGUUCACGAAAAGAGUAAGAGAUUCUUAUGUGGAAAUGAUGCUUUGCUUUGCUGGACAUAUUGCGCAGUUGAAUAAUGGUAAUGUUUUCCUGUCUAAGAGGAUCCCAAGUGGUAAGAGUCCGAGUUCCUCUGUAGCAUGAGAUUGAAUCAAGAUAUCAAGAAAUAUAGAGCAAAAAUAUUUCAGAAGCUGUCAAAGAUGGAAUCAAAGUUAAUUAAACUCAUAUAGAAAGAAUUCCACUUGUAAAUUUAUUUUCCGUUGUGAUAUGUUGGAUGGUAUUGUGUAAAACUUAAAACAAUGUGUAAAACUUAAAACAAUGGUAGUGGUGAAUUGCAAAUAUGUAUUUUGAGGUUAUAUGAAUAAUAUUGGCAAGUAAAUAUAAAUUUCUCUAAA